rnacentral:misc_RNA from 1 species
GUGAAUCAUCGAAUUUUUGAACGCAAAUUGCACUAUCUGGUAUUCCGGAGAGUAUGCCUGUUUGAGGGUCAGUUUAAAUAAAAAUCGGAAUGGUUGCUGCCUUUCGUGGUGACGCACCGGAUUUGGGUCGUCUUGCCUUUGGUUAAGUGACCUAAGAUUUUGCAUGAUUUUUUUUGGACGCAUUUAAAUGAUUUUACGUACGUUUGCGGUAUGGAGGACGA